AGUUUCCUCCUCCAGGUGACGUCGCGCAGCAGAGACAACGACCCCAAUGACUACGUAGAACAAGACGACAUCCUGCUGGUGAAGCUGCGGAAGGGGCAGGAGCUCCGCCUCCGCGCGUAUGCCAAGAAAGGGUUCGGGAAGGAACACGCCAAGUGGAACCCAACAGCGGGGGUGGCCUUCGAGUAUGACCCGGACAACGCACUGCGACACACAGUCUACCCCAAACCUGAGGAAUGGCCCAAGAGUGAAUAUUCUGAGAUUGAUGAGGACGAGGUGGAGGCCCCCUAUGAUCCCAACGGGAAACCAGAGAGGUGAGUG